rnacentral:sRNA from 1 species
AAGAAGCUGGGGAAGAGUAUAAAGUUUCUUAGCCAGUGCGCAGAACGAGUGGCCAGUAGGGCUGAGAUGUUGGGAGCCAUCAAUCAGGAAAGCCGGGUCAGUAAAGCAGUUGAAGUGAUGAUUCAGCAUGUAGAAAACUUGAAGAGGAUGUAUGCCAAAGAGCAUGCUGAAUUAGAAGAACUGAAACAGGUUCUUCUGCAGAAUGAAAGGUCUUUCAAUCCUCUUGAAGAUGACGAUGACUGCCAAAUUAAAAAACGUUCAGCUUCUCUAAACUCCAAGGUAAUUACUAAUUCACUUAACAAAUGUCUAGCAAAUACUUAUAAGAUGGCUUUAAAAUGUUAUUUGAAGUUUCAGGCCUUUACAUGUAAAUAACAAAAUAGUGAUUUUAAUUCAUAUAGACGUAUUUGUUUAUCUAGGUAUACUUUUAUACUCUCUGCUAUAUUUUUGUAUCAAUUAAGUGUGCCUGGCAGCAUGAAGAAAGUCAGUACAACAAUGGUUUCUCUCUGUUGUGUAAAACUGAAGAUGGAAGUGGGUAACCCGACAGUGGCACAGCAGCUUCACAAGAUCCUGAGGGAUCAGCCUACUUUCGUGCUGCCUCACUACCCUCAGCCCUUGGCUUCUGCCUCAGGGUCUAAGAUGGCUACUUUAGAUCCAGGCACCAAGCCCUCAUCAUUACAUCAUCUCAUUCCAAGAAAAACAAACAAGCAAUGACAAGUGUUCCCUCUCCCUGUAAAGACACCCCCUAGAAGUCCAAAAUAACAUUUCUCUUUCCAUUCUUUGUUACUAAUGAGACUGGAAAAUACAGUGUGUAUUU